AUUGAACGCUGGCGGCAGGCCUAACACAUGCAAGUCGAACGAGUGGCGGACGGGUGAGUAGUGUCUGGGAAACUGCCCGCUGGAGGGGGAUAACUACUGGAAACGGUAGCUACUACCGCAUACCAUCCGAUGUUCCCCUAUGGGAUUAGCUAGUAGGUGGGGUACCGGCUCACCUAGGCGACGAUCCAUAGCUGGUCUGAGAGGAUGACCAGCCACACUGGAACUGAGACACGGGCCAGACUCCUACGGGAGGCAGCAGUGGGGAAUAUUGCACAAUGGGCGCAAGCCUGAUGCAGCCAUGCCGCGUGUAUGAAGAAGGCCUUCGGGUUGUAAAGUACUUUCAGCGAGGAGGCGUUACUCGCAGAAGAAGCACCGGCUAACUCCGUGCCAGCAGCCGCGGUAAUUC
rnacentral:rRNA from 1 species